UACGGGGGAUGCAAGCGUUAUCCGGAAUUAUUGGGCGUAAAGGGUCCUGAGGUGGCUAGCCAAGUCUAUUGUGAAAUAUCAGGGCUUAACCCUGAACAUGCGGUGGAAACUAGAAAGCUUGAGUACAGUAGGGCGGAGGGAAUUUGCCGGUGGAGCGGUUGAAAUGCAUAGAUAUCGGGAAGAACACCAACGGCGAAAGCACAUCCGCUGGGCUGAUACUGACACUGACAGACGAAAGCUAGGGUAGCGAAAGGG
rnacentral:rRNA from 1 species